CUACAUUAAAAAGAUACAAGACUAACAAGCGAGCACAUGAAAAGAUACUUAGCACCAUUAGUCAUUAGAGAAAUGUAAAUUAAAAGCACAAAGAGACACCAUUUCAUACUUCACCUGAUGAUGGUUGUAAUUACAAAAGCUGGCAAGACCAAGGUUUUAUGAUGUGGUAAACAAUUAGAACUCUCAUAUACUGUUAAAUGUCUGAAAAAUAAUAAGUACCCCAAUAUAUUAUCAAUUAGUCAUAUUAGUGAGCACUUAGCAUGCCUAUAGAUGGGAAGUGUGAACCGUACAAAAUGGAGAAGCCUGAAAAGGCCUCUACCAUCAUAAAACCGUCUAACCAGGCUCUUUCCCCCUCCAUUCUUUGAAUCAUCCUCUUACAGCCUCCCAUCUUUGGCCCCGGGGCUAAUGCUGUGUGUUGUAGAUAUAGAUGGGGGUCAUUCCCGUGUGUUGCAUUGGGAAAGUCUUGGGGUAAGGGGUCCACUCUGAGGCUAUGAUGGACAUUAACGAGAUUACACUGGAGAGAGCAUAAGGGAGAUGGAAAUGAUUAAAUUGGUGGACAGAUAAAGAAAAGGCCUAAGGGCAGAAAACACAACCAAAGACACAUAUAUAAAUUCACACACCCUUACACAUGCAUUCACACAGACUCACAUAAACACACACACAUAGACACAAACAUACACGCAAACACUCCCAUGUGCAUUCACACAUUCUCAUGUAUACACACACAUACUCAAAUACACAGACACACUCAUACACACACAUUCACAUACACAAACACACACUCACACACUCACACAUACAUUCACACACACUCCACAUUCACUCUCACACACAAAAAACCUUUCUGAUAAAAGUUAAGAUGUCAGCAGACUUCUGUCACCGUAGAGGUUCCAUGUAGCUGCCAGGGUGGUAAAAGCAGGGCCUUGUGGGGGAUAAGCUACAGGUCAGUGCUGGGAAAUACAUAACUCAACAGUGUUAAGAGCAUCUACAAGAGUAUAGGCCACCUUGAGAGGAAAUAGGCUCCCCAACGCAGUGUCCAGACAACUACAUGAGAAGAUUUAUGAGAAGGUGCUUCCAAACAUAGGGAGUUGAGGAUCCAGCCCAAAGUCUGAAAUGAGAAAAAUAAAAGGUGUGUACUUGAUUGGACACAAUGAGCCUGAUGGGGAAACAGGGCAUUCCACAGCAGAGAAGCCAUGGUGUAUAUAGACUAAAAGGUGCCAUGAAAAAGGACAAAGGCCAGAUACAGACUCUUCAGACUCUCCAGCACGGGAUUUGGUAAAAUAAAGGCCAAGUAAAUGUAAACAGCUAGGCAGCAUGCCAGUGGGUACCAUGAGAGUCACAGAUGCCCAGCUUACCACGUGUACAGCAUGGUAAGGACAAUACUUGUGGGACUUUGCCACCUGCUCAGCUAAUCAGCAGAACAUCCCUGGGCAAAGAGCAUCUUAUCCAACUCAAUCAGCAGAGCUGAGUUCUACUCUGAUACAGACCCUCCACAGAGGCUCCCAACCAUAAGGUGUCCACAUGUGCUCCUCCUGACUUUUUAAACAUCAAAGUAUUUCUCUUCAGACAGAAGACACUUUGAGGCUACCUAUUCCUCUUUCUUCUUCUUCUUCUUCUUCUUCUUCUUCUUCUUCUUCUUCUUCUUCUUCUUCUUCUUCUU
ensembl:lncRNA